UUUUUUUUUUUUUUCGCUUAAAACGGGUUCUUCAAACAAAGCGUGUCCGAAUACACCCAAGAACAUCAAAAUACAAAAUCUCGCGUAGCGCCGAUGGCAGCUCCCGCUCUCCUGACCACAGGGCGUAACCCGAAUGGUGUGCUACAUAUGUAGCUACCCAGUCAGUCGCCCCGUUGGCCUCCCUGUAUACAUGCUUAGCCUCAAAGGCCACAACAUCUCUCACCAUCAACCUAAUAUCCCGGAUCAAAGGAUGGUCAGUGCUCUCCCGCCGAAUCCACCCAAUGACAGUGGAUGAGUCGCCCUCCAAGAUGAUCGAGCU
rnacentral:lncRNA from 1 species